rnacentral:rRNA from 1 species
AAACUAUGCACCGAAGCUGCGGCAGCGACACUAUGUGUUGUUGGGUAGGGGAGCGUUCUGUAAGCCUGUGAAGGUGUGUCGUGAGGCAUGCUGGAGGUAUCAGAAGUGCGAAUGCUGACAUAAGUAACGAUAAAGCGGGUGAAAAGCCCGCUCGCCGGAAGACCAAGGGUUCCUGUCCAACGUUAAUCGGGGCAGGGUGAGUCGACCCCUAAGGCGAGGCCGAAAGGCGUAGUCGAUGGGAAACGGGUUAAUAUUCCCGUACUUGGUGUUACUGCGAAGGGGGGACGGAGAAGGCUAUGUUGGCCGGGCGACGGUUGUCCCGGUUUAAGCGUGUAGGUGUGUGUUCCAGGUAAAUCCGGUUCACUUUAACACUGAGGCGUGAUGACGAGGCACUACGGUGCUGAAGCAACAAAUGCCCUGCUUCCAGGAAAAGCCUCUAAGCAUCAGGUAACAUCAAAUCGUACCCCAAACCGACACAGGUGGUCAGGUAGAGAAUACCAAGGCGCUUGAGAGAACUCGGGUGAAGGAACUAGGCAAAAUGGUGCCGUAACUUCGGGAGAAGGCACGCUGACACGUAGGUGAAGUGAUUUACUCAUGGAGCUGAAGUCAGUCGAAGAUACCAGCUGGCUGCAACUGUUUAUUAAAAACACAGCACUGUGCAAACACGAAAGUGGACGUAUACGGUGUGACGCCUGCCCGGUGCCGGAAGGUUAAUUGAUGGGGUCAGCGCAAGCGAAGCUCCUGAUCGAAGCCCCGGUAAACGGCGGCCGUAACUAUAACGGUCCUAAGGUAGCGAAAUUCCUUGUCGGGUAAGUUCCGACCUGCACGAAUGGCGUAAUGAUGGCCAGGCUGUCUCCACCCGAGACUCAGUGAAAUUGAACUCGCUGUGAAGAUGCAGUGUACCCGCGGCAAGACGGAAAGACCCCGUGAACCUUUACUAUAGCUUGACACUGAACAUUGAGCCUUGAUGUGUAGGAUAGGUGGGAGGCUUUGAAGUGUGGACGCCAGUCUGCAUGGAGCCGACCUUGAAAUACCACCCUUUAAUGUUUGAUGUUCUAACGUGGACCCGUGAUCCGGGUUGCGGACAGUGUCUGGUGGGUAGUUUGACUGGGGCGGUCUCCUCCUAAAGAGUAACGGAGGAGCACGAAGGUUGGCUAAUCCUGGUCGGACAUCAGGAGGUUAGUGCAAUGGCAUAAGCCAGCUUGACUGCGAGCGUGACGGCGCGAGCAGGUGCGAAAGCAGGUCAUAGUGAUCCGGUGGUUCUGAAUGGAAGGGCCAUCGCUCAACGGAUAAAAGGUACUCCGGGGAUAACAGGCUGAUACCGCCCAAGAGUUCAUAUCGACGGCGGUGUUUGGCACCUCGAUGUCGGCUCAUCACAUCCUGGGGCUGAAGUAGGUCCCAAGGGUAUGGCUGUUCGCCAUUUAAAGUGGUACGCGAGCUGGGUUUAGAACGUCGUGAGACAGUUCGGUCCCUAUCUGCCGUGGGCGCUGGAGAACUGAGGGGGGCUGCUCCUAGUACGAGAGGACCGGAGUGGACGCAUCACUGGUGUUCGGGUUGUCAUGCCAAUGGCACUGCCCGGUAGCUAAAUGCGGAAGAGAUAAGUGCUGAAAGCAUCUAAGCACGAAACUUGCCCCGAG